CGCGUAGGCGGUUUAUACAGUCAGAUGUGAAAUUCCUGGGCUUAACCUGGGGGCUGCAUUUGAUACGUAUGGACUUGAGUGAGGAAGAGGGUCGUGGAAUUCCCAGUGUAGAGGUGAAAUUCGUAGAUAUUGGGAAGAACACCGGUGGCGAAGGCGGCGACCUGGUCCUUGACUGACGCUGAGGCGCGAAAGCGUGGGGAGCAAACAGGAUUAGAUACCCUGGUAGUCCACGCUGUAAACGAUGUGUGCUGGAUGGUUGGGUGACCUAGUCACUCAGUGUCGUAGCUAACGCGCUAAGCACACCGCCUGGGGAGUACGGCCGCAAGGUUGAA
rnacentral:rRNA from 1 species